ACUUGGGGCCCUUUAGUUUCGCAUCUGGACCUUCGAUAUUCACAUCAGGAACAUCAACGUCCACUUUGGGUCCUGAGACAUCAAUGUCAGCCUUGGGCAGGCUCACAUCUGGGACUUCAACAUCCACCUUGGGUCCUGAGACAUCAAUGUCAGCCUUGGGCAGGUUCACAUCCACUUCUCGGCCCUCUCCUUUGAAGCCAGGCAUGCUAAACUUGGGCAUUUUCAUCUUGGGCAUCUUCAGGUGCCAGUCUGGGCCUUGAACCUCCACAUCUGGGACAUCAAUGUCCAUUUUGGCACUUUUAAGUUCAACAUCAGGAACUUUAAUCUCACUUUCAACCUU
rnacentral:lncRNA from 1 species